GACGAACGCUGGCGGCGUGCUUAACACAUGCAAGUCGAACGGAAAGGCCCUGCUUUUGUGGGGUGCUCGAGUGGCGAACGGGUGAGUAACACGUGAGUAACCUGCCCUUGACUUUGGGAUAACUUCAGGAAACUGGGGCUAAUACCGGAUAGGAGCUCCUGCUGCAUGGUGGGGGUUGGAAAGUUUCGGCGGUUGGGGAUGGACUCGCGGGUUAUCAGCUUGUUGGUGGGGUAGUGGCUUACCAAGCCUUUGACGGGUAGCCGGCCUGAGAGGGUGACCGGCCACAUUGGGACUGAGGUACGGCCCAGACUCCUACGGGAGGCAGCAGUGGGGAAUAUUGCACAAUGGGCGGAAGCCUGAUGCAGCAACGCCGCGUGCGGGAUGACGGCCUUCGGGUUGUAAACCGCUUUCGCCUGUGACGAAGCGUGAGUGACGGUAAUGGGUAAAGAAGCACCGGCUAACUACGUG
rnacentral:rRNA from 1 species